CCUGUCAUCGUCUAGUGGUUAGGACACCAGGUUCUGAUCAUCAGUGCGUUCACCGUUCCAUCGUGUCUCCUGGUAACCCCGGUUCAAACCCGGGUGACAGGU
rnacentral:tRNA from 1 species